rnacentral:tRNA from 1 species
UCCCUUGUGGCUCAGUUGGUAAAGAAUCUGCCUGCAAUGCAGAAGACCUGGGUUUGAUCCCUGGGUUGGGAA